UGGGGAAUUUUGGACAAUGGGCGCAAGCCUGAUCCAGCCAUGCCGCGUGCAGGAAGAAGGCCUUCGGGUUGUAAACCGCUUUUGUCAGGGAAGAAAUCUUCUGAGUUAAUACCUCGGGAGGAUGACGGUACCUGAAGAAUAAGCACCGGCUAACUACGUGCCAGCAGCCGCGGUAAUACGUAGGGUGCAAGCGUUAAUCGGAAUUACUGGGCGUAAAGCGUGCGCAGGCGGUUUUGUAAGACAGAGGUGAAAUCCCCGGGCUCAACCUGGGAACUGCCUUUGUGACUGCAAGGCUUGAGUGCGGCAGAGGGGGAUGGAAUUCCGCGUGUAGCAGUGAAAUGCGUAGAUAUGCGGAGGAAACACCGAUGGCGAAGGCAAUCCCCUGGGCCUGCACUGACGCUCAUGCACGAAAGCGUGGGGAGCAAACAGGAUUAGAUACCCUGGUAGUCCACGCCCUAAAACGAUGUCAACUGGUUGUUGGGAAGGUUCCUUCUCAGUAACGUAGCUAACGCGUGAAGUUGACCGCCUGGGGAGUACGGCC
rnacentral:rRNA from 1 species